GACGAACGCUGGCGGCGUGCUUAACACAUGCAAGUCGAACGGAAAGGCCCUGCUUUUGUGGUGUGCUCGAGUGGCGAACGGGUGAGUAACACGUGAGUAACCUGCCCUUGACUUUGGUAUAACUUCAGGAAACUGGGGCUAAUACCGGAUAGGAGCUCCUGCUGCAUGGUGGGGGUUGGAUAGUUUCGGCGGUUGGGGAUGGACUCGCGGCUUAUCAGCUUGGUGGUGGGGUAGUGGCUUACCAAGGCUUUGACGGGUAGCCGGCCUGAGAGGGUGACCGGCAUCAUGGGGACUGAGAUACGGCCCAGACUACUACGGGAGGCAGCAGUGGGGAAUGUUGCACAAUGGGAGGCAUCCUGAUGCAGCAACGCCGCGUGCGGGAUGACGGCCUUCGGGUUGUCACCCGUUUUCGACUGUGACGAAGCGGGAGUGACGGUAAUGGGUAAAGAAGCACCGGCUAACUACGUG
rnacentral:rRNA from 1 species